UGGGGAAUAUUGGACAAUGGGCGAAAGCCUGAUCCAGCCAUGCCGCGUGAGUGAUGAAGGCCUUAGGGUUGUAAAGCUCUUUUGUCCGGGAAGAUAAUGACUGUACCGGAAGAAUAAGCCCCGGCUAACUUCGUGCCAGCAGCCGCGGUAAUACGAAGGGGGCUAGCGUUGCUCGGAAUUACUGGGCGUAAAGGGCGCGUAGGCGGCCGUUCAAGUCGGAGGUGAAAUCCCAAGGCUCAACCUUGGAAUUGCCUUCGAUACUGGAUGGCUAGAGACCGGAAGAGGUAAGUGGAACUGCGAGUGUAGAGGUGAAAUUCGUAGAUAUUCGCAAGAACACCAGUGGCGAAGGCGGCUUACUGGUCCGGUUCUGACGCUGAGGCGCGAAAGCGUGGGGAGCAAACAGG
rnacentral:rRNA from 1 species